rnacentral:rRNA from 1 species
GCAUAUCAUUAAGCGGAGGAAAAGAAACCAACAGGGAUUGCCUCAGUAACGGCGAGUGAAGCGGCAAAAGCUCAAAUUUGAAAUCUGGCAGCCUCGCUGUCCGAGUUGUAAUUUGAAGAUUUCUCUUUGUGAGAGGCGCCUUGUCUAUGUUCCUUGGAACAGGACGUCGCAGAGGGUGAGAAUCCCGUGUGAUGAGGCCGCCGAUCCGUGUAAAGAGUCAUCGACGAGUCGAGUUGUUUGGGAAUGCAGCUCUAAGUGGGUGGUAAACUCCAUCUAAAGCUAAAUAUUGGCGAGAGACCGAUAGCGAACAAGUACAGUGAUGGAAAGAUGAAAAGAACUUUGAAAAGAGAGUGAAAAAGUACGUGAAAUUGUUGAAAGGGAAGGUUAUUAGAUCAGACUUGGCGGCGCGCCAUACCUGUCCUCUUGUAGGGCGGACACUGGCGCGUGUUUGCUGGGCCAGCAUCGAUUCGGGCGGCGGGACAUGGUCCUGUGGGAUGUGGCUGUUUUAACACAGUGUUAUAACCACGGGUCUCUGCCGCCUGCCUGGAUCGAGGACUGCGUCUGUUACAGACUAGGAUGCUGCGACUGUCAGGAGUU